rnacentral:tRNA from 2 species
GGAGGGGAAACCGCGAUCGGUCGCGGGAUCGCCUUGAAAGCGGCUCGAUCCUUCAUCGGAUAGGGGUUCGAAUCCUCUUCCCUCCG